UACGAAGGGGGCUAGCGUUGCUCGGAAUUACUGGGCGUAAAGCGUGCGCAGGCGGCUUAUUAAGUUGGAAGUGAAAGCCUUGAGCUCAACUCAAGAAUUGCUUUCAAAACUGAUAAGCUAGAGAGCGAGAGGGGAUAGCGGAAUUCCUAGUGUAGAGGUGAAAUUCGUAGAUAUUAGGAGGAACACCGGUGGCGAAAGCGGCUAUCUGGCUCGCAACUGACGCUCAUGCACGAAAGCGUGGGGAGCAAACAGG
rnacentral:rRNA from 1 species